GGUGUGGCGGAAAUGGCAAAAGCACAAGCCUUAGGAUCUAGCUCCUUUGGCGUGGGGGUUCGACUCCCUUCACC
rnacentral:tRNA from 1 species